UUCUUUUAAGAAACGGUCGCGAGGCAGCAGUGUGUAUUAUUUUUGUACCUGUAAUAAGUUGUUUGAAUAGUGACCAAGAGCGACUCGUAAAAGAAAAUGAAUCAUAUACAGUUAAAUAUCAUCGUCAAAUUAGAAGCCAUGUUUUCUCAAUCUAAAGAUGAUGUGAAGCUGGAAUGGAUGUACAAAGGUCCAAAUGCAACAGUCGAUCGUGAAGAAUAUCUUUUGGGUAGAGCAGUAGAUAAAACACUAGAACAACUUAAUGAAGAAGAAAAACAAAAACAACUUGGUUUAGCUCAACAACCUAAGAAUCAUGUAGAACACGAAUGCAUCCCUCCUUCCAUAAGAGACUAUAAGAAACAACAAUUAUUAGCUGAACAAGUCGACAUUCAAAAUAAGCUACAGGAAGAUCCAUUAAUAGCUAUUAAAAAGAGGGAGGAAGAAUGUAGAAGACAAUUCUUGAAUAACCCUGUGCAACUAAAAAAAUUGCAAGAAGCACUAGUGGCUAAGAAAAAUCUGAAAAAAGAUAAGAAAAAGAAAUCUAAGAAAAAACAUGCCAGUAGUGAUUCUGAUAGCGACAUCGAUUCUAAACUAGUUGAAAAACUGAAGUUAUUAAAAAGGUUUCCUACAAAACUGUCUUUAGAGUUGAAGCUUAAGAGUAAAAAAAAAGUAAAAUCUGAAGAAGAUAGCAUUCUUGAUACUAUAUUAAUGCACAAAUUUAAUGCAUUCAAAUCAAAAUUGUCUGAUGAAGAUAUGCAAGACAUUUUGGCAGGUAAAAUUACAGACAGUGAAUCAGAUAGCAUUAGUGAUAAGGAAGAAAAUGAUGCUGUAGAUACAAAAAAAAGAAAGAAAAACAAAAAAAAAGAUAAAAAGAAAAACAAAAGGCAACAUAAAAGAUAUGAAAAUGACAGUGACAGUGAAAAGAAAGACAGGAUUAAAAACAAAUCCACUAAAAAGCACAAAAGUGAUUUAUCUAGCAGUUCCUCAGAUUCAGAAGAAAGUAAUUUCAAAAAGCAAGCUAAGAGUAAUCAUACACAGAGGCCCAAAGAAAUAACUAAAGGAAAAGAAGAGCAAACUACUAGUAAGGUUUCAGAACACAGACAAAAUAUAAAUUUUAAUAAAAACCACAAAAAUACAAAUCCAAAUUCACCUUUAAUUAAGAAUUAUUCUAGUUUGUUUAAGGAAAAUAUGUCAUAUAAAGAUAGUUCAAGGCAUUAUUAUAAGAAUUCUGAUAAAAAUGAAAAUAACAGAUCCAAAAGAAAAAGUGAAUCCAGUCAUGGAAAGAAAGGCCAGAAUAAAGGAAGGGAAAGCUCUAGUGAUAAUGACCAAAAUGAGAAAAGGAAAAGACUACUAUCAGAUAAAGAUUUAGAAACCAAAAAGGAUAACACCACUAGGGUUAAAUCUUCUAACAAAAAAGACACACGAAUGUACCCUGAAAAUCCAUACAAUUCACGAAAGUACAGUGAUAGUUCAUCAAAAGGAUAUCCUGAACUAAAGUCAUCUAAACAAAGUUAUCAGUCAUCAGAUUCAAAUUCUGAUUCAGAUUCGAAAAAUAAAAAACGCAAUUAUGGUUUAAUAAGUGGCGAUGGUAAAAGGCUAAAAUCUACUACAAAGAUAAAACAUUUUAAUGAACAAAAAAGUACUUCCAUAAAGUCGCCAGAAUUAAGGGAAUCUUCUGAUAAACGUUCUGGAAGGCCUAAAUGUAAAGAAUUAUCACGUGAAGAAAGAGAAAAACGAAUAAAAGAAAUGAUGGCCAAUGCUGCUUGGAGGGACAAAGAAAGAGCUGAAGCAGUAAGGAUUCAUAGGGAAAGUGAAUCCAAUCAGUCCAAAAUACCUGAUGAAUAUAACCCCGAGUUUCUUCAUAAAGAAUUACUGAAAUCUGCUAAUUCUGCUAGUGUUGAAAGUAGAAUCAAAGCUAACGUUAACAAUAUUCAGAGAUCCAGUAGAGAUAUGAGUAGUAAUUUUUCUAAAAGGAAUUAAAGAAACUUCGACUGUUUAGACUGGUUUCAUUCUCAAACUGAAAAUGAUGUUGGAAUAUAAUAGAAAUUGAGAACUCAAAA
rnacentral:misc_RNA from 1 species